rnacentral:rRNA from 1 species
GCUCGUAGUUGGAUUUGUGCUCAGGCGUUGGUCCACUCUUGUGGUGCGUACUAGCGUCUGGGCUUGUCUACCGGUUUUCCGUCGUAGUCUUAACCGGCUGCGGCGGGUGGCUGGUGAAUUUACUUUGAACAAAUCAGAGUGCUUAACACAGGCGUUUCGCUUGUAUGUUUUUGCAUGGAAUAAUAGAAAAGGAUUUUGGCAUAUUUUAUUGGUUUUAUAUACUGAAAUAAUGGUUAACAGAGACAAACGGGGGCAUUCGUAUCGUUGCGUGAGAGGUGAAAUUCUUGGACCGCAGCGAGACGUACAACAGCGAAAGCAUUUGCCAAGAAUGUCUUCAUUAAUCAAGAACGAAAGUCAGAGGUUCGAAGGCGAUCAGAUACCGCCCUAGUUUUGACCGUAAACGAUGCCAACUAGCGAUCCGCCGGCGGAAUUUUUGCCCUGGUGGGGAGCUUCCCGGAAACGAAAGUCUUCCGGUUCCGGGGGAAGUAUGGUUGCAAAGCUGAAACUUAAAGGAAUUGACGGAAGGGCACCACCAGGAGUGGAGCCUGCGGCUUAAUUUGACUCAACACGGGGAAACUCACCCGGGCCGGACACCGUAAGGAUUGACAGAUUGAUAGCUUUUUCAUGAUUUGGUGGAUGGUGGUGCAUGGCCGUUCUUAGUUCGUGGAGUGAUUUGUCUGGUUUAUUCCGAUAACGAGCGAGACUCUAGCCUAUUAAAUAGAUGGCGCAUUAUUUAGUGCGUUUGCUUCCUAAAGGGAUUUUCGGUGUACAGCCGCAAGAGAUUGAGCAAUAACAGGUCUGUGAUGCCCUUAGAUGUCCGGGGCUGCACGCGCGCUACACUGGCGAAAUCAGCGUGCUUAUUCUAUCUCGAAAGGGACUGGUAAACCCUUGAAAAUUUGCCGUGAUUGGGAUUGGAAAUUGCAAUUAUUUUCCGUAAACGAG